GCUUAGAAAAUUUGGAACAUUGUUGUCCAACGUGAAAACUCAACAGGAAUACUCAAUCUGUCAGGAUGCCUGUUUGGAUUCGUCCAUUUCAAUCAAGAGGAAAUAUUAUCCCUGACGGAGAUGACGCUUCGAAAAUUUGGAACAUUGUUGUCCAACGUGAAAACUCAACAGGAAUACUCAAUCUGUCAGGAUGCCUGUUUGGAUUCGUCCAUUUCAAUCAAGAGGAAAUAUUAUCCCUGACGAAGAUGACGCUUUGAGAGAAAAAAAAGAAAAGAAAAAUGUCAACGACCGUAGGACAACGGACGGCAUGAAUUUCAUCCCGGUGUCUCGUUAACUGUACACGAACGGCGAAGAACUCGACGGCGGGGACGGCAGCGACUCGAGGGUCUCUUUCCCGUUCUUUCACCGGGCAGCCGGUAAACAGUAUUUCCAAGUCGACCGAGUAAAUCAACAAUCGUUCUUCUUCCCGAUCACCGGUGCGCCUGUGUAUUUCCCCGUCCGACUUACUUUUUUUCGCC